GUUUUAAUAUCAUAUAUACUUUAUUUCGGUACAAACAUAAGAAACAAUUUUUAUGUAAACAGAUUCAACAAAUGACAUGAAAGACUAAAUAUCACAUUACAAUCUACCUGUAUAUAUACCAUUAACAUAGACGUUACGCACAGUGUUCGGUUUAGUAAUGGUAACGUUAGUCGACGUAAUUUUCAUUUAUUUCAACCGACUUUUGUACAAAACGUUCAAGCUUUGCACUAUUUUUAAAACAUAUGGCUUUUUGAUGUUUGACUACUUAUUUAAAAAAAAAUAUAGACUGUGAACAUGACUGAUUAUACAUUUUUGAUGAAUAAUCUUUCCAUUCCCGAUUGAUUUAUUUCCUCAUAAUCUUAACUUAUUGAAAUAAUUUUAGGGUCUUUCUAUCCGUACUACCAAAAGUUACAUUCCAAAUAUGAGGCUUUCGAGAAUAUUAUAAUGAAAAAUAAUUCUCGUUCGGGUCAAUGACAGCAACAGCUACUAUAUGUAUCCUCUGUUUGCUUGAUCUAUAAUUUCAAUUUCAUUCUCAGCUUUUGGAAAGAAAACGGCAGUUUGAAAUUGCUCAUUUUAUUAAGAUUAAAAAGUGAUCUACAGUCCUUGAAUUAGGAUCAGUAUUUUUUUCACAUGCGUCAGUUUGUCGGAUGCGUGGAAAUAACUGUUAGUGUAUGCAACAAACAAUCGUACUAGCAGAAACAUAUCUUUUACUAAAGGUCCCAAAGUCGAAAGGUUCGGUAUUAUAGAAAACUUAUCAUUUAUCAAAAACUUCGACGCCUUUAAGAUCAGCACAUGGUUUACAAAACACUGAUGGAAGUCAAAUUUCUUGUUGAUUUAUUACAUUUUAGAGUAAAUAUUUGAAAAAACUCUCCCAAAAAUAUAUCAUGAAACAGAACGUGUCAAAUGCUUAAGACUCAAAAAUGCUUAACUUUUAGUCUAUGGAAAAUUAAAUAUAUAUACGUUACAUUGACGUUCCUUACAAAAAAACGUUCAAUUUGGACGUGGUAACAUUUUGGGGAGACAUGGACAACUUGAUGGAAAUUGAUGAAAAAUUUAGCGUUUGCUUAACAUUGAAGGCUUAAACCAAUCUUUAAAAAAAUUACAUUUCAGUAGUAACAUUUGUUUUCAUAGUUCAUUUGUCUGUCACAAAUUUAAAAUACCCUAAAUUAGCAUGGUACUACAAAAUCUUAAACAAUGGCUCUAUGGUAACAUUUAAGGGAGACAUGGAAAAAACUGAAAAAAAAUAAAACGAGAGAAGCUAUGUUAGAAAUAAAUAUGUGUUCGUAAAAUUCAAUAAAAUUACAUUUGCAUGUAGAUGUGGCGAACCUUUUCUAUGACUUAUGUGAAAAUAUUGUAAUAUCGAAGUGCUUGCUUUCAUUUUUGUAUACUCGAAUUUUCAAAUCUUACAGCUGUAUGGAAUUUCGAAAAUGGCCACUAGAAUGCGAACUAACAUGAUAUUUAUCGUAACCGUUUCACACCAUGCAUAUGAUCAUAUUAUAUCCCACCUGUUUGAAUUUCAUCGUAAUCCAUUCAGUAGUUUUGGGUUUUUUUUUCGUUUAUAUUUGUAUGGUAAGUUAUUGUUGUUACGUCUUACACGGCAAAAAUGGUAUUAUGAACACGGGACUUAUUGCUUAAUUAUGUAAUAAUACAUAAAAUUAAAUAUUUUAAAAUUAGGUUUUAUUUAAUAUCGAUUAAACUGAUGAACCAAGACGAGUAAUAAUUUGAUAAUACGCAUAAUUGAUUUGUUUCUGUCCUACUUAUGCAUCAAGAAAUGGUCAAAUGAAACAUAGACCGAAUACCGUGCGUAACGUCACAACAUUUCAAAUAUACCAUAAAAAAACCCACCUGCUGUGCCAUGCU
rnacentral:lncRNA from 1 species